UUAGAUCACCGAAGUUAAGCAUCAUUGGGCGCGGUCAGUACUUGGGUAGGUGACCACCUGGGAACACUGCGUGCCGUU
rnacentral:rRNA from 1 species